rnacentral:rRNA from 1 species
AUUGAACGCUGGCGGCAGGCCUAACACAUGCAAGUCGAGCGAGCGGCGGACGGGUGAGUAAUGUAUGGGGACUGCCCGAUAGAGGGGGAUAACUACUGGAAACGGUGGCUAAUACCGCAUAAUGUCGGAUAACCCAUAUGGUAUUAGAUAGUAGGUAAGGUAAUGGCUGACCUAGGCGACGAUCCCUAGCUGGUCUGAGAGGAUGAUCAGCCACACUGGGACUGAGACACGGCCCAGACUCCUACGGAGGCAGCAGUGGGGAAUAUUGCGCAAUGGGCGCAAGCCUGAUGCAGCCAUGCCGCGUGAAUGAAGAAGGCCCUAGGGUUGUAAAGUACUUUCAGUCGGGAGGCGUUACCGACAGAAGAAGCACCGGCUAACUCCGUGCCAGCAGCCGCGGUAAUUC